rnacentral:rRNA from 1 species
AAAAUCCGCCGUUCUAGCUAAAGGCUAAUAGUACCGCAAGGCUUCGGCUGCGUGGAUAGAGCAGGUAAUCAGACUUCCAAGAAAAACCGCUAAGCUUCAGGUUAUAAAAACCCGUACCGCAAACCGACACAGGUAUCCGGGAAGAGGAUUCUAAGGUGCUCGAGUGAAUCAUGGCUAAGGAACUCGGCAAAAUGGCCCUGUAACUUCGGGAGAAGGGGCGCCAAUGGCAACAUUGGCCGCAGUGAAAAGGCCCAGGCGACUGUUUAACAAAAACACAUGGCUUUGCAAAAUCGAAAGAUGAAGUAUAAGGCCUGACACCUGCCCGGUGCUGGAAGGUUAAGAGGGGAUGUCAUCCGCAAGGAGAAGCAUUGAAUCGAAGCCCCAGUAAACGGCGGCCGUAACUAUAACGGUCCUAAGGUAGCGAAAUUCCUUGUCGGGUAAGUUCCGACCUGCACGAAUGGUGUAACGAUCUGGGCGCUGUCUCAGCCAUGAGCUCGGUGAAAUUGUGGUCCCGGUGAAGACGCCGGGUACCCGCAACGGGACGGAAAGACCCCAUGCACCUUCACUACAAUUUAACAUUGACAUUGGGUACAGGAUGUGUAGGAUAGGUGGGAGGCUUUGAAGCGGGUGCGCCAGCAUUCGUGGAGCCAACGUUGAAAUACCACCCUUUCUGUAUUCGGUGUCUAACUCCGCUAAGCGGAGGACAUUGUUUGAUGGGUAGUUUGACUGGGGUGGUCGCCUCCAAAAAGGUAACGGAGGCUUUCAAAGGUAAGCUCAAUACGCUUGGUAACCGUAUGAGGAGUGCAAUAGCAUAAGCUUGCUUGACUGUGAGGCAAACAAGCCGAGCAGGGUCGAAAGACGGAUAUAGUGAUCCGGUGGUUCUGCAUGGAAGGGCCAUCGCUCAAAGGAUAAAAGGUACGCUGGAUAACAGGCUGAUCUCCCCCAAGAGCUCAUAUCGACGGGGAGGUUUGGCACCUCGAUGUCGGCUCGUCACAUCCUGGGGCUGGAGAAGGUCCCAAGGGUUCGGCUGUUCGCCGAUUAAAGUGGCACGCGAGCUGGGUUCAGAACGUCGCGAGACAGUUCGGUCCCUAUCUGUUGUGGGCGUAGGAAUUUUGAGUGGGGCUGACCUUAGUACGAGAGGACCGGGUUGGACUAACCUCUAGUGAAUCUGUUGUUCCGCCAGGGGCAUUGCAGAGUAGCUACGUUGGGAAUAGAUAAGCGCUGAAAGCAUCUAAGUGCGAAACUAGCCACGAGAUGAGAAUUCCAUAUAGGGCCGUAGAAGACUACUACGUUGAUAGGCUAUAGGUGUAAAGCUGGUAACAGCAAAGCCGAGUAGUACUAAUAACCCU